rnacentral:rRNA from 1 species
CCUACGGGAGGCAGCAGUGGGGAAUAUUGCACAAUGGGGGAAACCCUGAUGCAGCAACGCCGCGUGAGUGAAGAAGUAUUUAGGUAUGUAAAGCUCUAUUAGCAGGGAAGCAGAUGACGGUACUUGUGUAAGAAGCCCCGGCUAACUACGUGCCAGCAGCCGCGGGAAUACGUAGGGGGCAAGCGCUAUCCAGAUUUACUGGGUGUAAAGGGAGCGCAGACGGGGUGACAGGUCUGGAGUGAAAGCCCGGGGCUGAACCCCGGGACUGCUUUGGAAACUGCGUGACUGGAGUGCUGGAGAGGCAAGCGGAAUUCCUGGUGUAGCGGUGAAAUGCGUAGAUAUAAGGAAGAACACCAGUGGCGAAGGCGGCUUGCUGGACAGUAACUGACGUUGAGGCUCGAAAGCGUGGGGAGCAAACAGGAUUAGAUACCCCAGUAGUC